UCUCCGUUGGUGAACCAGCGGAGGGAUCAUUACAGAGUUACCCAACUCCCAAAAACCAUUGUGAACGUUACCUUAACCGUUGCUUCGGCGGGCGGCACUCCAGGGUGCCCCUGGGCCCCACCGCGGGCGCCCGCCGAAGGUCAUCAAACUCUUGAUAUUUUUAUGGCCUCUCUGAGUCUUCUAUACUGAAUAAGUUAAAACUUUCAACAACGGAUCUCUUGGCUCUG
rnacentral:misc_RNA from 1 species